rnacentral:rRNA from 1 species
AACGAACGCUGGCGGCAUGCCUAACACAUGCAAGUCGAACGAGACCUUCGGGUCUAGUGGCGCACGGGUGCGUAACGCGUGGGAACCUGCCCUUAGGUUCGGAAUAACUCCCCGAAAGGGGUGCUAACACCGGAUAAUGUCUUCGGACCAAAGAUUUAUCGCCUUUGGAUGGGCCCGCGUUGGAUUAGCUAGUUGGUAGGGUAAAAGCCUACCAAGGCGACGAUCCAUAGCUGGUCUGAGAGGAUGAUCAGCCACACUGGGACUGAGACACGGCCCAGACUCCUACGGGAGGCAGCAGUGGGGAAUAUUGGACAAUGGGCGAAAGCCUGAUCCGGCAAUGCCGCGUGAGUGAUGAAGGCCUUAGGGUUGUAAAGCUCUUUUACCCGGGAUGAUAAUGACAGUACCGGGAGAAUAAGCUCCGGCUAACUCCGUG